rnacentral:rRNA from 1 species
AUUGAACGCUGGCGGCAGGCCUAAUACAUGCAAGUCGAACGGUAACAUAAAAGAAGCUUGCUUCUUUUGAUGACGAGUGGCGGACGGGUGAGUAAUAUUUGGGAAACUACCUGAUAGAGGGGGACAACAGUUGGAAACGACUGCUAAUACCGCAUAAAGCCUGGGGGUGAAAGCAGCAAUGCGCUAUCAGAUGUGCCCAAACGGGAUUAGCUAGUAGGUGAGGUAAAGGCUCACCUAGGCGACGAUCUCUAGCUGGUCUGAGAGGAUGAUCAGCCACAUUGGGACUGAGACACGGCCCAGACUCCUACGGGAGGCAGCAGUAGGGAAUAUUGCACAAUGGAGGAAACUCUGAUGCAGCCAUGCCGCGUGUGUGAAGAAGGCCUUGGG